rnacentral:tRNA from 1 species
GCCUGAGUAGCUCAGUCGGUUGAGCAUCUGACUUUGGCUCAGGUCAUGAUCUUGCAGUUUGUGGGUUUGAGCCCCACAUUGGGCU